rnacentral:rRNA from 1 species
UGGGGGAUAGCCAUCCGAAAGGGUGAUUAAUACCGCAUAUGAUCGAGAGAUCAAAGGUGCCUUCGGGUGCCGCUCUUGGAUGGACUCGCGGCCUAUCAGCUUGUUGGUGAGGUAAAGGCUCACCAAGGCUACGACGGGUAACUGGUCUGAGAGGACGACCAGUCACACUGGAACUGAGACACGGUCCAGACACCUACGGGUGGCAGCAGUCGAGAAUCAUUCGCAAUGGACGAAAGUCUGACGGUGCGACGCCGCGUGGAGGAUGACGCGGCCCUAGGGUUGUAAACUCCUGUCAUCAGAGAGUAAGGUUUUUGGGUUAAUAGCCCGAAAAAUUGAUAGUAUCUGAAGAGGAAGGGACGGCUAACUUCGUGCCAGCAGCCGCGGUAAUACGAAGGUCCCAAGCGUUGUUCGGAUUUACUGGGCGUAAAGAGUACGUAGGCGGUGAGGUAAGUCAGAUGUGAAAGCCCAGGGCUCAACCUUGGAACUGCAUCCGAUACUGCCUCACUUGAGUAAUGGAGGGGCAUCUGGAAUUCACGGUGUAGCAGUGAAAUGCGUAGAUAUCGUGAGGAACACUAGUGGCGAAGGCGAGAUGCUGGACAUUUACUGACGCUGAGGUACGAAGGCCAGGGUAGCGAAAAGGAUUAGAUACCCUUGUAGUCCUGGCAGUAAACGGUGCUCGCUUGGUGUGGGGAGGUUCGACCCUCUCCGUGCCGGAGCUAACGCGUUAAGCGAGCCGCCUGGGGAGUACGGCCGCAAGGCUAAAACUCAAAGAAAUUGACGGGGACCCGCACAAGCGGUGGAGUAUGUGGCUUAAUUCGAUGCAACGCGAAGAACCUUACCUGGGCUUGACAUGCUUAUCAUAUCCCUGUGAAAGCAGGGAGUCAGUUCGGCUGGAUUUGCACAGGUGCUGCAUGGCUGUCGUCAGCUCGUGUCGUGAGAUGUUGGGUUAAGUCCCGCAACGAGCGCAACCCUUGUGUCCUGUUGCCAGCGAGUAAUGUCGGGGACUCUGGACAGACUGCCGUGCUUAAACCGGAGGAAGGUGGGGAUGACGUCAAGUCAGUAUGGCCCUUAUGCCCAGGGCUGCACACGUACUACAAUGCUCAGUACAAUGUGAACCGAUACCGCGAGGUGGAGGAAAUCCUGAAAACUGAGCUCAGUUCGGAUUGGAGGCUGCAACUCGCCUCCAUGAAGUCGGAAUCGCUAGUAAUGCCGUAUCAGCUACGACGGCGUGAAUACGUUCCCGGGUCUUGU